UUAAAUUCGAUGACUUUAGAGUAGUAGUUAAAAAAGUCUCAUUUAGCGAGCUUGUGAGAGUGUAAGACAAGCAUGAGAACUUUUAAUGAAUGGACUAAGGUAGAAGCCGUGUGAACAUUAGUAGCAUGAGCCGGGCGCUUCCGUUAUCAAGCAAAAAUAUUAAAGUCUUUAAUGACGGCGUAUUUUAGAUAAGAGGAGAAACAAUUGUUUCUUAAACAUUGGGUGGUACCACGAACAUUUCGUCCCAAGG
rfam:complete chromosome Acholeplasma brassicae.